GCAAGUCGAGCGCUUCCCUUCGGGGAGGAGCGGCGGACGGGUUAGUAACGCGUGGGAACGUACCCUUUUCUGCGGGAUAGCCAUUGGAAACGAUGAGUAAUACCGCAUACGCCCUUCGGGGGAAAGAUUUAUCGGAGAAGGAUCGGCCCGCGUUAGAUUAGAUAGUUGGUGGGGUAAUGGCCUACCAAGGCAGUGAUGAGUAGCCGACCUGAGAGGGUGACC
rnacentral:rRNA from 1 species